rnacentral:rRNA from 2 species
GCGAACUGGUGAGUAACACGUGGGAAACCUGCCCAGAAGCGGGGGAUAACACCUGGAAACAGAUGCUAAUACCGCAUAACAACUUGGACCGCAUGGUCCGAGUUUGAAAGAUGGCUUCGGCUAUCACUUUUGGAUGGUCCCGCGGCGUAUUAGCUAGAUGGUGGGGUAACGGCUCACCAUGGCAAUGAUACGUAGCCGACCUGAGAGGGUAAUCGGCCACAUUGGGACUGAGACACGGCCCAAACUCCUACGGGAGGCAGCAGUAGGGAAUCUUCCACAAUGGACGAAAGUCUGAUGGAGCAACGCCCGCGUGAGUGAAAGAAGGGUUUACGGCUCGUAAAACUCCUGUUGUUAAAGAAGAACAUAUCUGAGAGUAACUGUUCAGGUAUUGACCGGUAUUUAACCAGAAAGCCACGGCUAACUACGUGCCAGCAGCCGCGGUAAUACGUAGGUGGCAAGCGUUGUCCGGAUUUAUUGGGCGUAAAGCGAGCGCAGGCGGUUUUUUAAGUCUGAUGUGAAAGCCUUCGGCUCAACCGAAGAAGUGCAUCGGAAACUGGGAAACUUGAGUGCAGAAGAGGACAGUGGAACUCCAUGUGUAGCGGUGAAAUGCGUAGAUAUAUGGAAGAACACCAGUGGCGAAGGCGGCUGUCUGGUCUGUAACUGACGCUGAGGCUCGAAAGUAUGGGUAGCAAACAGGAUUAGAUACCCUGGUAGUCCAUACCGUAAACGAUGAAUGCUAAGUGUUUGGAGGGUUUCCGCCCUUCAGUGCUGCAGCUAACGCAUUAAGCAUUCCGCCUGGGGAGUACGGCCGCAAGGCUGAAACUCAAAGGAAUUGACGGGGGCCCGCACAAGCGGUGGAGCAUGUGGUUUAAUUCGAAGCUACGCGAAGAACCUUACCAGGUCUUGACAUACUAUGCAAAUCUAAGAGAUUAGACGUUCCCUUCGGGGACAUGGAUACAGGUGGUUGCAUGGUUGUCGUCAGCUCGUGUCGUGAGAUGUUGGGUUAAGUCCCGCAACGAGCGCAACCCUUAUUAUCAGUUGCCAGCAUUAAGUUGGGCACCUCUGGUGAGACUGCCGGUGACAAACCGGAGGAAGGUGGGGAUGAACGUCAAAUCAUCAUGCCCCUUAUGACCUGGGUCUACACCACGGUGCCUCACAAUUGGGAAUGUGGUACAACCAGCAGAUUGCGAACUCGCGAGAGUAAGCUAAUCUCUUAAAGCCAUUCUCAGUUCGGAUUGUAGGCUGCAACUCGCCUACAUGAAGUCGGAAUCGCUAGUAAUCGCGGAUCAGCAUGCCGCGGUGAAUACGUUCCCGGGCCUUGUACACACCGCCCGUCACACCAUGAGAGUUUGUAACACCCAAAGUCGGUGGGGUAACC